rnacentral:rRNA from 1 species
GGGUUGUGAGGUUAAGCGACUAAGCGUACACGGUGGAUGCCCUGGCAGUCAGAGGCGAUGAAGGGCGUGCUAAUCUGCGAUAAGCGCCGGUAAGGUGAUAUGAACCGUUAUAACCGGCGAUACCCGAAUGGGGAAACCCAGUGUGACUCGUCACACUAUCAUUAACUGAAUCCAUAGGUUAAUGAGGCGAACCGGGGGAACUGAAACAUCUAAGUACCCCGAGGAAAAGAAAUCAACCGAGAUUCCCCCAGUAGCGGCGAGCGAACGGGGAGGAGCCCAGAGCCUGAAUCAGCAUGUGUGUUAGUGGAAGCGUCUGGAAAGGCGCGCGAUACAGGGUGACAGCCCCGUACACAAAAGCGCAUGUGCUGUGAGCUCGAUGAGUAGGGCGGGACACGUGGUAUCCUGUCUGAAUAUGGGUGG